UGAGCAAUCUGCCCUUCUCAUCGGAAUAAGCGUUGGAAACGACGUCUAAUGCCGAAUACGACCUCCUUUCGCAUGAUCGGAGGUGGAAAGCUCCGGCGGAGAAGGAUGAGCUCGCGGCCUAUCAGCUAGUUGGUGUGGGUAACGCCCACCAAGGCAACGAUGCGUAGCCGACCUGAGAGGGUNAUCGGCCACAUUGGAACUGAGACACGGUCCAGACCUCGACGGGAGG
rnacentral:rRNA from 1 species